GGAGAUCUUUAGCAAGUGGGGUGGGGGUGGAUUCUUGGGAUAUGAAAAUCCAAGGAUGGAUAAGAUAGCAUUUGGAAGUACCUGCCACAUGGACUUGGAAAGCCAAUCAGAAUUUGUGGUGGUGAUUUCCUGAGAUGGAGCAGGAACAGAAAGAUGGGAGUGGAAGGGGACAAGUAGUUGAAGCCAUGGCCACAAAUGAGUGGCCAAGUUAAGGGGGGCCCACACCUCAUCUCAUCUCUCUGUCUUGGUUUCUACUUCCUUUGAGAUAAGCUUUUCUUUCUGUCAUAAUUAUUUAUAGUCAUGGGAAGGGAUUGGAUAUUUUUGGGUUUAUUGGAUUUUGCUUAUAAUACAAUAUCCAUAGAUAUCUAAGCCUAGACAAAAGAUUUUUGAGAAUUUUGAAAAUAGUUCAUAUUUGAUGUGAUAUUGUGAUAAAAUAAAAUAAAAUAUUUAAUUUGUUAUUUUUUAAGAGUUAAAUAGUGCCAAAGUUUUGAAAUUGUUUUGUAAACAGUGAACAUUGUGGUUUGAAUAUUAAAUAUUUAACAUAAUGUGAUAUUCUCUGUGUUUAUUACCUACUUCAGCAUUUUAUCUGUAUUAGAUACUCCUUCCGUGUGUAAAAAAAUUUACACGGAGUUAAAAAAAAAUAUUAUUAUAUUAUGAUGCAGUAAAAAUAAAUAUAAAAUAACUAAAUUAAUUAUUGUAAAUUGAAAGGGAUAAUUUGUUAAGAGACAAAAAGAGUAUUUUAUAAGGGAUGUUGGUUAUGGAAGCUUGAAUUAGCCAUAAUCCCAAAGUUCUUACAUUUAUGGAUUCUAAUGAGCACACAAACUUUUUACAUGAAAAUUCUAAAUUGGUAAAAAAAAAAAAGAAACUAUUUUAGACGACGAUGGUUGCAAGAUAUAUGCCUUCGAGAAGACCUCGUACUAAUGGAGUAAUAUAUGAUACUUAUAAGGCCCAAAUUCUUUUUAAAUUAUUUUGACGUGAAAUUUGAGUUUGCAUGUCCUAGCACCUUUUUUCAUUCAGAACUACAGAAUUCUUAAAGACCAUCACUCUUCAUCCUACCUUGGGAUCAAACUUAAAGAGGUCGGUGUUUUCACCUAAGGAUCUAGUUUGCACUCGAAACAAAUAUACACUAGCAUGCAUGAUUUAAGUUAGAAUUCUACAUACAGCUUGAACUUUGUUAUUGCUUCAGUUGGGAGUUAGACCACAGGAAUAGAAGGAUGUGAGUCCAAACAAGUGCGGAUUUUCUUCGACAUCCUGUGAUCAACAGCUGACAACAAGCAAGUAUAUCGAUGAUUGUCAUAGUUUGUUGUUUCAAAUGAAUAAUUAUGCACGAUCUGGACACCCGCUACCUAAUGCUGCUUAUAGAUAACAAAAAUAAUCUUUUAAGUCAACGACGACCCAUCCGGAUCAAUCUUUGACGACUAUAGUUGAUGUGUAAAACCAUUUUUUUUUCCCUAACAGGAAGAAGAUCUCCCCGAAAUCUCAUAGCUAUCUAAAAUCAUGAGCAUCAGCAUAUAAAUUACAGA